UACGUAGGGUGCAAGCGUUUGUCCGGAAUUAUUGGGCGUAAAGAGCUUGUAGGCGGUUUGUCGCGUCUGCUGUGAAAUUUCGGGGCUCAACCCCGAACUUGCAGUGGGUACGGGCAGACUAGAGUGUGGUAGGGGAGACUGGAAUUCCUGGUGUAGCGGUGAAAUGCGCAGAUAUCAGGAGGAACACCGAUGGCGAAGGCAGGUCUCUGGGCCACUACUGACGCUGAGAAAGCGAAAGCAUGGGGGAG
rnacentral:rRNA from 1 species